rnacentral:rRNA from 1 species
UACGUAGGGGGCGAGCGUUGUCCGGAGUUACUGGGCGUAAAGGGCAUGCAGGCGGUCGGACGCGUUUUGUGUGACAGCGGGUGGCUUAACUGCCCGAGUAUGCGAAAGACGGUUUGACUUGAGGGCUCGAGAGGGACACGGAAUUCCGGGUGGAGUGGUGAAAUGCGUAGAGAUCCGGAGGAACACCAAAGGCGAAGGCAGUGUCCUGGUGAGCACCUGACGCUGAGGUGCGAAAGCUAGGGGAGCGAACGGG